rnacentral:rRNA from 1 species
AUUGAACGCUGGCGGCAUGCCUUACACAUGCAAGUCGAACGGCAGCACGGGAGCAAUCCUGGUGGCGAGUGGCGAACGGGUGAGUAAUAUAUCGGAACGUGCCCAGUCGUGGGGGAUAACGUAGCGAAAGCUACGCUAAUACCGCAUACGAUCUAUGGAUGAAAGCGGGGGAUCGCAAGACCUCGCGCGAUUGGAGCGGCCGAUAUCAGAUUAGGUAGUUGGUGAGGUAAAGGCUCGCCAAGCCGACGAUCUGUAGCUGGUCUGAGAGGACGACCAGCCACACUGGGACUGAGACACGGCCCAGACUCCUACGGGA